rnacentral:lncRNA from 1 species
UUGUGCCCAGAGUUUGAUUUUCCACAGACCAGGUAGAGGCCAAGAGCCUCUCACAGACUCUGCAGCAGGGUUGCUAUGAUUAACUCUUAAGUACUCCACAACUACACGCUUUUGAAACUGGCGUUGGCAUAGCGUUAGUUCUGUGCAGGGCGGACGCAGCAGGACAGAAUCUCCCUGGGCAUCUUUUCGGAGCAUCAAUUUUACUGCAAAAUUUUGAAAAAACAAAUUUAAUUGAUUUCCAAGGUUUGUCAAGGAGGACAGAAACUCAGAGCACCCUGCACUUGGGGAUCGGCACUAGGAGCUGCUCUCUGGAUGGGGAGAUGGGAGCUAGCAGCUCACAAUGGGGUCACAAGAAGAAACAAGGCUUCCUUCAACACUGAAUUAAUGAAAAACAACUCAGGAUAUUUACUUUUCUUCACACCAUAAAUUUUGAAGAGCUUUUUCGUUAUGCACUGUGUGUUACAACAUAUGUGCUUAAGCAGUCAAGCAAGUAUCUCAUAUCUGAAUUGGAAAGCUUUAGAGUAUUGACAAAGAAGAUGUAUGUAUGUAUGUGAUGUUGCUGGCCUAAGACAGGCCACUGCUACUGCACACAGAGCAACUGUAUGUUAACAACUGCUGUGCUAGGGGCGUGUCCCCUGAAGUUAGUGUUGCUAGCAUGGAAUUGAAAAUAUUUAUGAGUCUCAGACAUGGCAUCACGGUGUUUGACUAUUAUUACAUUAGUUACUUUUAGUCACUGUUUUAUUACAACAUUUUAAUGUACAUUUGUUCACAGUGUAAAGAAACUGAAGUUUUUGUUUGUUUGUUUUUUCUUUGUUUCUGUUUUUGUUUUUAACUUUUAUGGUUGUGUGCCCAUGGGCCCCCACAAGAGGUCUCUGUUUGAUCUCAUUUCUGUGCUAGUGAUAUUUCUAGGAGUCCAAUAAUAUGGGGCAUGUUAUAAUAUACCUUUUAGAAUGAAGAAAAAGUGGUUACGUAUACAUUCUCCUACAUCAAAAAAAGGCGCAAGAGCUGGCAGGUUUCUUUGGGUUAUGAGAAACCCAUUCCUAGUUUGAGUAUGAUACCGUGGCCCAUUCAAUGAAUGUAAUGGAAAACUGCUACUUUUAAAUUGGGCACAGAAUAAUAGAAGGCCUGCAAAAAGUCCAGAGUGCAAUGCAAGCUACUUUGCCACUUGUGCCAUAUGACUGCAGAUGCAAUGGUUUUUGAGGUGUGACUGGGAGAUAGGAAUGCUGUUGUAUCUUUGAUAGGUUGCUAUACAUAAAGCCUGGUGUAGGUCCUUAUAAUUUUGGAGCAGAGCCUUAAAACCUUCUGCAGAUAAUUCUUUCU